rnacentral:rRNA from 1 species
UCAAGCGUUUAAGAGCAUUUAAUGGAUGCCUUGGCACUGAAAGUCGACGAAGGACGUGUUAUACUGCGAUAAGUUUCGGGGAGCUGUAUGAAAGCUUUGAUCCGAAAAUUUCCGAAUGGGAAAACCCAACUCUUAUGAGUUACUUUAAACUGAAUACAUAGGUUUAAAGAGGCAACCCAGGGAACUGAAACAUCUAAGUACCUGGAGGAAAAGAAAUCAAUUGAGAUUCCGUUAGUAGUGGCGAGCGAAAGCGGAAGAGGCCAGCGGCCUAUUAUGAAUAACCAAAACAGUCUGGAAAGUCUGACCAUAGAAGGUGAUAGUCCUGUAUGGGUAAAAACAUAGUAGGUCCACGAGUAAGGCGGGACACGUGAAAUCCUGUUUGAAGAUAGGGGGACCAUCCUCUAAGCCUAAAUACUCUUCAGUGACCGAUAGUGAACUAGUACCGUGAGGGAAAGGUGAAAAGAACCCCUAUUAGGGGAGUGAAAUAGAAUCUGAAAUUGAAUGCUUACAAUCAGUCAGAGCUCCUUGUGAGUGAUGACGUACCUUUUGUAUAAUGGGUCAGUGACUUAAUUUAUGUAGCAAGCUUAAGCCGUUAGGUGUAGGCCAAGCGAAAGCGAGUCUUAAUAGGGCGUUAGUUGCAUGAAUUACAACCCGAAACCGAUUGAUCUAGAUAUGAGCAGGUUGAAGGUAAGGUAACACUUACUGGAGGACCGAACCCGUUGCCGUUGAAAUGGCUUGGGAUGACUUGUGUCUAGGGGUGAAAGGCCAACCAAAAUCGGAGAUAGCUGGUUUUCCGCGAAAACUAUUUAGGUAGUGCGUUGAGUUAUAGAUUAAGAGGGGUAGAGCACUAAAUAGGCUAGGGGGAAGAAAUUCUUACCAACCCUAAUAAAACUCCGAAUACUCUUAAUUGUUCCUCAGCAGACAGACUGCGAAUGCUAACGUCCGUAGUCGAGAGGGAAACAACCCAGAUCACCAACUAAGGUCCCGAAAUCGUAAUUAAGUGUGAAAGGAUGUGAAGACUCCAAAACAGCCGGGAGGUUGGCUUAGAAGCAGCCAUCCUUUAAAGAUAGCGUAACAGCUCACCGGUCUAAUUAAGAGACUUUGCGCCGAAGAUGUAACGGGGCUAAAAUUACGUACCGAAGUUGUGAAUUUAUAAAGUCUUCGGACUUUAUAUCUGGUAGCGGAACGUUCUGUAAGCCGUUGAAGGAAGACCCGCGAGGGCUUCUGGAGGUAUCAGAAGUGCGAAUGCUGACAUGAGUAGCGACAAACAGAGUGAAAGACUCUGUCGCCGAGAGUACAAGGGUUCCUGCGUAAAGCUAAUCUUCGCAGGGUUAGUCGGCCCCUAAGACGAGAGCGAAAGCUGUAGUCGAUGGGAACCAGGUAAAUAUUCCUGGACCAGGUGGUAGUGACGGAUGCAGUAAAUUGUAACUCCUUAUUGGAUUGGAGUUGCCGUGAAUGUGUCCCAGGAAAUAGCUCCACCAUUAGACCGUACCCGAAACGGACACACGUGUACCGGUAGAGUAUACCUAGGCGCUUGAGAGAAUAAUGUUGAAGGAACUCGGCAAAUUGCUUCCGUAACUUCGGAAUAAGGAAGGCCCUUGUUUAGGCAACUAGAUUUGGGCGGCACAAGCUAGGGAGAAGCGACUGUUUAUCAAAAACACAGGUCUCUGCUAACACGUAAGUGGAUGUAUAGGGGCUGACGCCUGCCCGGUGCUGGAAGGUUAAGGCAAGAUGUGCAAGCAUUGAACCGAAGCCCCAGUGAACGGCGGCCGUAACUAUAACGGUCCUAAGGUAGCGAAAUUCCUUGUCGGGUAAG